UUGGUUGCCUUGUUCUCUAGGCACAUUGACGCCUGAAUACCACUAUGUGGUCCACCAUAAAAUUUUAUUCAACAUCAAUGUGCCUAGAGAACAAGGCAACCAAAGUACUGACCAGAUCUUAGUAAUUAAAAUAAAUUUUAUUACUAUUAUUUUUUUGGGAUAGAGAGAAAAGCAUGAAAAUGGCUAUGAGCCAUAUUGCAACUUUAAUACAAGACUAAGACUCAACAAUGGCAGAGUGGACUUGCAGCCAAUAAGCAUGACAUAACCACAAAAGACAAGGCUUCCGAUGCUGGUCAGAUCCGAUCAGCCAGGUACCUCAUCAGUGAGUUGACAGGCUUAGCAGUGCCAACACCUUCAAUUCCCCUGCAUUUUAUCUUAAUCCGAGCAAGGUAAUCAGCUGCAAUCCAAGCAAAGCUCAACAUUGCAGCAUUGUCAGCAGCUUCAGGCCCUUGCAACUCCAGUGACUUAUUUAUCCAACUGGGAUGGUAAGCAACCUGGUACCAUGCU
rnacentral:misc_RNA from 1 species